rnacentral:rRNA from 1 species
UAAUACGAAGGGGGCGAGCAUUGUUCGGAAUUACUGGGCGUAAAGGGUGCGUAGGCGGAUCGGAUAGUCAGAUGUGAAAGCCCAAGGCUUAACCUUGGAAUUGCAUUUGAUACUGCCAGUCUGGAGUAUUGGAGAGGAGCGUGGAAUUCCCAGUGUAGAGGUGAAAUUCGUAGAUAUUGGGAGGAACACCAGUGGCGUAGGCGACGCUCUGGCCAAAUACUGACGCUGAGGCACGAAAGUGUGGGGAGCAAACAGGAUUAGAUACCCUGGUAGUCCACACCGUAAACGAUGUGUGCUAGUCGUUGGGCGCAAGCUCAGUGACGCAGCUAACGCUUGAAGCACACCGCCUGGGGAGUACGGUCGCAAGAUUA